GCAGCCAUGACCUAGUGGUUAGCGCUGUCGUUUUCCAAAAUUUAGGUCCCGGGUUCGACUCCCCACAGGUGGCAGUC